GGUGAACGCUGGCGGCGUGCCUAAUACAUGCAAGUCGAGCGAACAGACGAGGAGCUUGCUCCUCUGACGUUAGCGGCGGACGGGUGAGUAACACGUGGAUAACCUACCUAUAAGACUGGGAUAACUUCGGGAAACCGGAGCUAAUACCGGAUAAUAUAUUGAACCGCAUGGUUCAAUAGUGAAAGACGGUUUUGCUGUCACUUAUAGAUGGAUCCGCGCCGCAUUAGCUAGUUGGUAAGGUAACAGCUUACCAAGGCAACGAUGCGUAGCCGACCUGAGAGGGUGAUCGGCCACACUGGAACUGAGACACGGUCCAGACUCCUACGGGAGGCAGCAGUAGGGAAUCUUCCGCAAUGGGCGAAAGCCUGACGGAGCAACGCCGCGUGAGUGAUGAAGGUCUUCGGAUCGUAAAACUCUGUUAUUAGGGAAGAACAAAUGUGUAAGUAACUAUGCACGUCUUGACGGUACCUAAUCAGAAAGCCACGGCUAACUACGUG
rnacentral:rRNA from 1 species